rnacentral:rRNA from 1 species
UACGGAGGGGGCUAGCGUUGUUCGGAAUUACUGGGCGUAAAGGGCGCGCAGGCGGCUGCUCAAGUCAGGCGUGAAAGGCCUGGGCUCAACCCGGGAAUUGCGCUUGAGACUGGGCUGGCUUGAGUGCGGGAGAGGAUGGUGGAAUUCCCAGUGUAGAGGUGAAAUUCGUAGAUAUUGGGAAGAACACCGGUGGCGACGGCGGCCAUCUGGACCGCAACUGACGCUGAGGCGCGAAAGCGUGGGGAGCAAACAGG